UACGUAGGGGGCUAGCGUUGUCCGGAAUCAUUGGGCGUAAAGCGCGUGUAGGCGGUCCGGUAAGUCCGCUGUGAAAGUCGAGGGCUCAACCCUCGAAUGCCGGUGGACACUGUCGGGCUAGAGUACGGAAGAGGCGAGUGGAAUUCCUGGUGUAGCGGUGAAAUGCGCAGAUAUCAGGAGGAACACCAAUUGCGAAGGCAGCUCGCUGGGACGUUACUGACGCUGAGACGCGAAAGCGUGGGGAGCAAACAGG
rnacentral:rRNA from 1 species